ACAAACCUUUGACCUUUCCGUCCCUGCUGACCUAAAGAUACCAAACAGGAAGUGACAUCAUAUCAGUGGACAGCAUCAGAUCUCCUGGUGGAGAAAUACUUUCUCUGGGCCUCGACCUCAGAGGGAACAGUUAAAGCCCGACGAGCCGAGCAGAGUCACGUUUCUACAAACGGGAGAGUUUCCGGAGUCUUCGGCAGUGAUGAAGAUGCCUGAACUCGGCCGCCAGGCUGCCGUUGGACUCCUCCAUGUUCAUCACCUUGGUGUUCGUUCCCAGGAUGUUGAACUUACGGAACCUGGAAACAGACGACAUGCUUCAUUUGACUUUGGAGAUGUUCACCUUUGACCUCUGGAAACAUUCAUUGAGUUUUUCCACCUAUAAAAAUGCAACAGUGCUGAUUUAAUAUCAUGAAAAAUGAUGUCAAAGCUUCUUUUCCACCUUUACAUUGAUCAAUUUUCUGCACAAUUUAUUAAAAUGAAGGUUCUCCGUCUUUAAUCAGGUUUUUGUGUUUUCUCAGAUGCUAAAGCUAACCCAGCAGGUUGUAGCCGUUUCCUAGGUAACGGGGAAAGUUUCAGACGUACCCUUUCUUCUCUGUGACGUCCCUGUGGGAAACAAACAGCAGAAGGUUAUUGCUGCAGACAGAAGCGGAUUGAACUGAUCCACAUGAGCUCUGCUUACUUAUCAAACACGGCUUUGACUUUGAGCUGGUAGUUGAACUCAUGAAGCUUCACCAGGAACCUGAACACAGACAGGAAGUUAAACGCCCAGUAAAACAUUCAGGUGACGUCCUGCUGAGUUUUCGGGUCACGUUCAGAGGAGUUUGGUUCUUACCGGAGCUUGACGGUGAACUGGACGCCUGUUUUCAGCACCAGCGGUCUCUGUGGGUGUGUGGGCAUGCAGGGCUGCCGCUCUACCACCAGAGAGCUGCAAACACAAGCAGACGCCAUGUUGGCCCGGCAGCAGCUGCGGCUCCAGAGGAGACGGGUGGCGGUCGUACCUGGACAGCAGGUUCUUCAGCAGGUCCAGAGCGCGGUUCUCCAGGUGGCUCUUCUUCUGGGAAAUGGGGUCGUUUUCGUAGGUGAACUUCUGCUCCAGCUCCAGCAUCUUGUUCAGGUGCUGCCGGACCUGCUGCAGCGACUCGGCGACGGCGGUGAACCUGCAGCAGGAGAAACGAUCGUUCAGACAGGAACAGGCUGAGAAAACACUUUUACAGUUACUGAAGUAAAAAACGACUUCAAAUAAUGACGGAUUAUGGUGGAAAAAUACUGAGAUUAAUUUGUAGAAAAUGUUGAAAAUUAAAAACGUAAAAAGAAAAUAAACCGUUUCUGAUUAAAAAAAA